rnacentral:rRNA from 2 species
UGGGGAAUAUUGCACAAUGGAGGGAACUCUGAUGCAGCGACGCCGCAUGAACGAAGAAGGCUUUCGAGUCGUAAAGUUCUUUUAUAUGGGAAGAUAAUGACGGUACCAUAAGAAAAAGCCCCGGCUAACUACGUGCCAGCAGCCGCGGUAAUACGUAGGGGGCUAGCGUUGUCCGGAAUCACUGGGCGUAAAGGGUUCGCAGGCGGAAAUGCAAGUCAGGUGUAAAAGGCAGUAGCUUAACUACUGUAAGCAUUUGAAACUGCAUAUCUUGAGAAGAGUAGAGGUAAGUGGAAUUUUUAGUGUAGCGGUGAAAUGCGUAGAUAUUAAAAAGAAUACCGGUGGCGAAGGCGACUUACUGGGCUCAUUCUGACGCUGAGGAACGAAAGCGUGGGUAGCAAACAGG